rnacentral:rRNA from 1 species
UACGGGGGGGGCAAGCGUUGUUCGGAAUUACUGGGCGUAAAGGGUUCGUAGGUGGCCAAUUAAGUCAGACGUGAAAUCCCUCAGCUUAACUGGGGAAUCUGCGUCUGAGACUGGAUGGCUUGAGUGCAGGAGAGGAACGCGGAAUUCCAGGUGUAGCGGUGAAAUGCGUAGAUAUCUGGAGGAACACCGGUGGCGAAGGCGGCGUUCUGGACUGCAACUGACACUGAGGAACGAAAGCCAGGGAGCAAACGGG